AUUCAUACUGAAAAAAACUAGCCAGAAUGGAAGGGAAACAGUUCAAAAGGUGUUUUUAAAUACUUUUCCAUCUCAGCUGGACAACAACUCAUAGCAUUACUUGCAGCAACAAGUCUGGCUGCUGUUGAUAGAUGCUCCUAGGAGGGUGUCAACUUCAUAGUUCACAGAAAAAUUGU